rnacentral:lncRNA from 1 species
UACUUUUGAAGCCUAUAUAUAGAGGGCUUCUCUAUACUUCAAUAUAACAUAAAAAAAGAAAACUACAAUAUCUAUAUUCUACUUGAGAGAGAGAAGGUCAAAGAAAGAUAUUUAUUUUGGUGGAGCUUUGGGCUCAUCUACUUGUGCAGAGUUGGUGAAGCCACACGACGAGGGUCGAGCCGUUGAAUCCUGGAAGGGACAAGUCAGUACUCUGCUGCAUCGGUUCAGAGGCUUUGCCAACCGCAGAGGGCUUGAAUCUCCUUAAAGACAGCGAGAUAUCCGUGCCUCGGCUUGAUCGACUCGUUGAUAUUUUUUAAAUUAUUUUGUAGCUAACCUCUAUUUUUUGAAUAUUUACACCAACAGUCUGUAAUUUUACUUUUUCAAAAAAUUGUAAUCGACUUUGUCCCGAACGGUGACAAAGCAAAUUACAGAAGAAAAAAUGAUAAAAAUAAUAAAAAAUAACUAUCAUAAUUUCUUUUUUACCCUCUUAUGUAAUAAUGCAUAAAAUUUUCAUAAUAACAUACAAAGAAAAUGGAACAACUACAAUUUCCGAUUUAUUAACUUUAUAUUAAAUAGAUAAUAAAAAAUAAUUUAUACUAGAGUUUAAGUAAAAAUAAUUUUUAUGUUAGAAUUUAGUUACGCGGUUACGUCAAAUAAACAGUUCUAAGAAAUUUUUUUCAUAUUUUCUCAUUUUAAUACUCCGUAAUUUAAAGUGUAUCACUUUCGUACCUUAUGUAUAUAUAUAUUUUUUGUUAUUUUUUUUACUAAUUUUUUUCGUUAAAUCAGUGACAAAGUUAAAACUAGAGAGUACUAAAAUAAAUAUUCGAUAAACUAUAGAUAGGAUAUCUGAAGUUUUUUAUAUAUGAUUUAAUAAAAAGUUAACAAAGGACCGAUAAAAAAAGAAAAAUAAAACUACACAAUACUAAAUUGAUACAUUUUAAACCAUAGUAUAUUAAAAUGAAAUAGUGUGAAACUACAAGAAAGGUACUUGAAAAAAAAAUAUUUAUUUUGGUUUGGUUUCACUUCUUUUUGUUUUGUUUUUGUUUUUGUUGUUUCCAAAUAAAUUUUUGAAAUGACUAAAUAUUUGGGA